GCGAGUCGAACGAAAAAUAAUUUUUCGUGGCGUACGGGUGAGUAAUACACAGGAAUCCGCCUUUUAGUUCAGGAUAAAAUUCUGAAUAACAAAAGAAAACUUUUCGCUAAAAGAUGAGCCUGUGUAGGAUUAGGUAGUUGGUAUUUGGGUAAGGGCCUACCAAGCCUAUGAUCCUUAGCUGUUCUGAGAGGUUGUACAGCCACACUGGGACUGAGACAAGGCCCAGGCUUCAUUUGGAGCCAGCAGUGAGGAAUUUUGGACAAUGAGCGAAAGCUUGAUCCAGCAAUACUACAUGAGUGAUGAAGGCUUUCAAGUUGUAAAACUCUUUGGUUGAGGAGGAUAAUGACAGUACUCAACAAAAUAGCCCCGGCUAACUUCGUGCCAGCAGCCGCGGUAAUACGAAGGGGGCGAGCGUUAUCCGGAAUGACUGGGCGUAAAGGGUCCGUAGGCAGCAUUUUUUGUUAGAGGUUAAAUAAAAAAGCUUAACUUUUUUCCGCUUCUAAAACGUAAAUGCUUUGAGUUUGAUAGGAGAUAGCAGAAUUUCACAUGGAGGGGUGAUAUCCGUAGAUAUGUGAAGGAAUACCAGAGGCGAAGGCGGCUAUCUAGAUCAAUACUGACGUUGAGGGACGAAAGCAUGGGGAGCAAACAGGAUUAGAUACCCUGGUAGUCCAUGCCCUAAAAGAUGAGUGCUCGUGCUUAGAUAUUUUUAGGCACUUAGUUAACACGUUAAGCACUCCGCCUGGGGAGUACGACCGCAAGGUUGGAACUCAAAGGAAUUGACGGGGGCCUAUACAAGUGGUGGAGCAUGUGGUUUAAUGCGACAAUACGCGCGAAACCUUACCAGUUCUUGACAUAAAAAAAGAAAAAGUUUGAAAGGACAAUUUUGAAGAUUUUUACAGGUGCUGCAUGGCUGUCGUCAGCUCGUGUCGUGAGAUGUUAGGUUAACUCCUUUUAACGGGCGAAACCCCUUUUCU
rnacentral:rRNA from 1 species